rfam:Salmo salar isolate Sally breed double haploid chromosome ssa22, whole genome shotgun sequence.
GUGGGAUACGGGGACAUGUGUCCUACUACUCUGGGAGGCAAAAUGGUGGGGACUCUCUGCGCCAUUGCCGGCGUGUUGACCAUCGCCUUACCCGUCCCUGUUAUCGUCUCCAAC